GACGAACGCUGGCGGCGUGCUUAACACAUGCAAGUCGAACGGAAAGGCCCUGCUUUUGUGGGGUGCUCGAGUGGCGAACGGGUGAGUAACACGUGAGUAACCUGCCCUUGACUUUGGGAUAACUUCAGGAAACUGGGGCUAAUACCGGAUAGGAGCUCCUGCUGCAUGGUGGGGGUUGGAAAGUUUCGGCGGUUGGGGAUGGACUCGCGGCUUAUCAGCUUGUUGGUGGGGUAGUGGCUUACCAAGGCUUUGACGGGUAGCCGGCCUGAGAGGGUGACCGGCCACAUUGGGACUGAGGUACGGCCCAGACUCCUACGGGAGGCAGCAGUGGGGAGUAUUGCGCAAUAGGCGGAAGCCUGAUGCAGCAACGCCGCGUGCGGGAUGACGGCCUUCGGGUUGUAAACCGCUUUCGCCUGUGACGAAGCGUGAGUGACGGUAAUGGGUAAAGAAGCAACGGCUAACUACGUG
rnacentral:rRNA from 1 species